GAUGAAGAACGUAGCGAAAUGCGAUACGUAGUGUGAAUUGCAGAAUUCAGUGAAUCAUCGAAUCUUUGAACGCACAUUGCACCUCUCGGUAUUCCGGGAGGUAUGCCUGUUCGAGCGUCAUUUGUACCCUCAAGCUCUGCUUGGUGUUGGGUGUUUGUUCCGCCUCUGUGUGUGAACUCGCCUCAAAACAAUUGGCAGCCGGCGUACUUGUUUCGGAGCGCAGCACAUUUUGCGCUUUAGACCCAUGUACAGCGGCAUCCAAGAAGCCUUCUUUAAUAAAUUUGACCUCGGAUCAGGUAGGGAUACCCGCUGAACUUAAGCAUAUCAAUAAGCGGAGGA
rnacentral:misc_RNA from 1 species